UACGGGGGGAGCAAGCGUUGUUCGGAUUUACUGGGCGUAAAGGGCGCGUAGGCGGCCAGCACAAGUCAGUUGUUAAAUCUCCGGGCUUAACUCGGAACGGUCAGAUGAUACUGUUUUGCUAGAGUGCAGAAGGGGCAAUCGGAAUUCUUGGUGUAGCGGUGAAAUGCGUAGAUAUCAAGAGGAACACCUGAGGUGAAGACGGGUUGCUGGGCUGACACUGACGCUGAGGCGCGAAAGCCAGGGGAGCAAACGGG
rnacentral:rRNA from 1 species